GGUGGAGAAAGGUGCAGGACAGAGCUGUCCAGCCUGCGGCCUGCCCUGGGCAGCUCAGGGGACGGGCCACCCUCUAGGACCUGGGCUGGUCGCAGGAGAACUGGCCCCCCGCCUCUGUUAUGGGCCUCGGCACUCAGCCCACCUGGAAAGGCGAGAGUCUGGAGCUCCUGGCUGCUGGCCAUUGGCAGCCUCGCUUCCUGCUCAGAGGAUCAUCCAUCUGGAAUUCCAAUGGAUAAACCCGCCUGAGCCUCCAGGUGACCUGGGUCGGGAACACCUGUCAGCUGGGUGUGCACAGGUGUGGAAUCAGGUAAGAAAUCGAGUGUCUCUGCAAACCAGCACAGGUGCCGUCCGGACAGGGUUACGUCUCCACGAGCAUGUCACUGUCAUCACUCAUGGCCCCAGGUGCUGUCCCCGAGAGCUCCAUUUGGUGAGACUCUGGGCAGGUAAACAGUGGUGUCCACUGGUUGUAGGUGCAACUCGCUUCCCAAAGAAUGAGUUCUUGGGAAGAGUAGGAGUCCAGGGGACGUUGGAGUGUGUGUUUCUUGGUUGAUAAGUAACUUACACAAAGUCCACAUGUCUGUGCACUGGGGCCUCCUCCUUGCAGCCGGCUGGGCUCUUGCUGUCCUCUCCACUGGGGACCCACAGAAGGUGGGAGGGUGGGACUCUGCGGGCUCCCAGACUGCGCUAGGCCACUCUCCUGUGGCCGGGAGGGCUGGAGACAGGCUCUUGGGGCCCUGUGGCCCAGCCUGGGGGGCAUGGCAUCCACCCCCAUUGCCUACGGGGUUCAGCAGCUAAAUCCGGUCAAGCCUGAGCUGCCUUGAGACUGACCUGCGAGGGGCAGGAAUGUGCCUGCACCUGGCAAACCCAUCAUCUGCCACCAGGCUCCCAUCCUGGAUGCUUGCCUGCCCACCUCCUGGGAAGUGAAACCUCUGGCCUGGCUGUGAACUCGCCCAGCUUCUGGCUCCUUCCCCACCUUCUACCAACUCCCUCCACCACCUCCAGGAAGACAGAAGACAAAAUAAGAAAGGGCAGCAGGUCCCUAGCUGAGGGAUACGGUUCAUUCAGUUAUUCAUUCAUUCAUUCACUCCCUACUGGGUGCCAGGCCCUCCACUAAAGUCCUCUCCUACCCCAGCCCAACCAUUAACCCAGCUUCAAGUGAGCCCCCAUAGACCAAAGUCCAAAUUUAUGAAAUGUUCAAUCUGAGCAGAGUUAGUGUUUCACAAAGGGCUUCCCAGUAGCCUGCUAUAAAAAGAAUUUCAUUCCCCGAAUGCACCCAAAAUAUAGUUGAUUCCAUGUAGACGCAGAUACAGGACUGCUCAUACCUGCUGGUGAAACAGUUUGUACCAAAAAUAGAUGCACCACCCAGCAAUUCCACACCUGGGAUUUACUCAGGGGACACGGAAGUGCAGAUUUAUGUACUAGCACAGAUUUGUAUACUAUAUAAGUUCAUAGCAGCUCCAUUCGCAAUUGCCCAAGACAGGACCCACAUGUCCGUCUAUGGGUGACAGAUGGUGGUCCAUCCAUCAGUGAUGCUCCUCGCAAUAGAGAGGAACGAAGCACUGAUCCCCUCCACAACAUGGAGAUCUGAGAAACAGAAGACUGCGGGCUGAGGGAUCCUAUUUGUAAGAAGUUCUAGAAGCAGCAAAACCCAUCAAGGUGAGCGAUGAGGUCAUGGCUUCCAGGGUCCACUGUGGGGAGGGUCCUGGGGGCCCCAUCGGGACGAGCAGAGCCCUCGGCUGUGGGGGGGUGGGCAGCCCGGCAUGGGCUCCCCUGGCACCUUGGGGUCCCUGUCCCUGUGAAAUGGGGUAAUAUUGUUGAUAUUUUCAAGCAUCUCUGUCAAGCUUUUAUGCAUAUGUGCACGCAUGUGCACACACAAUCACACACACCAGAGCCACACACGCAUUCACACACUCACACACAUGUUUGUUGUAAAUAACACUUAGAAUUACAUCACACAGUUUUACAGUGUUUCCCCUUUACCAGGCUGCCUUAGCUCCACCGCACCAGUGAGCCUCCAGAGCGGCUCCAUCUCCCACAUUUCACAGCCACGUCAGAACUUACUAACAACUCCAACAUUCCCAGGUGCCUUUGAUUUUUAAAGUAAUGCUGAAAUGAGCAUCUUUGUACAUAAAUCUUUACCCACAUCUGAUUUUUGAUUUAGGAUAAAAUUCUAGAAGUGGAUUACCGGAGCAAGAGUUACAAAUAUUUACCUGCCUCUUGAUAAGUAAUGCCAACUUGGUUCUUGAGGGUGUCAUUUCUGUUUUUCUUAUUGGAAUUUUAAGUGACUAUGUAAUCGAAUUUAUCGAUCUUUUCCAUGAGGAUUCUGGGGUCUAGGUCAUGCUUUCAAAAGCCUUCCCAUUUCCUAUGUUAGAAAUAUAUUCACUGUAUUUUCUUUUCAUUCUUUUAUGAUUUUAUGACUCCAAUUUACACAUAAAAUUCCAUCUGGAUUUUACUUUGCUUAGGGACCUGCCACACGUUCCCCCAGUGGGAUGCCCCUCCAUCCCGUGCUGAUGCCUCGUUCCCUGGGGGAACCCUGGACUCCGGUCUGUUUCAUUUCUGAGCCCAGCCGACCUGGUUAGAGUGGUUACAGCCGCAGAGGACAUGUUAAUACCUCAUAGGAAAUUACACAGGCACCUUCGUUUCUUAGCUUUCCUGACUAUUGUCUUCAUUGUUGUUCUUGUCCAGCUGUUGAGUGGAUGACAUUUAAACAGGGACCUCGUCCAUCACCCUGAGUGUCCCUCGACCUCUGCGUGUUCAUCCAUCAGCCAGCCUGACAGCCCUCCUGUCCCCCCUGCUGACUGCCACUGCCCUGGAGGCUGCAGCUGGACACACGCAGAGGUAUUCUCAGCUCACGGAGUCCAGUGCUGGCCGAGAGCAGCAGCCAUUCCUCCUCCUGCUCCACCUCCAUUCCCCAUCCCCUCCCCUCCUCUCCCUCAUCCUCUCCUCUCCUCUC